GGGAGGUUCUGGUAGGGGAAGGGUCGGAUCUUGCAGGAGGAGGAAGGAUGGGGGCAGGGGGAGGUUCUGGUAGGGGAAGGGUCGGAUCUUGCAGGGGAAGGAAGGAUGGGGGCAGGGGGAGGUUCUGGUAGGGGAAGGGUCGGAUCUUGCAGGAGGAGGAAGGAUGGGGGCAGGGGGAGGUUCUGGUAGGGGAAGGGUCGGAUCUUGCAGGGGAAGGAAGGAUGGGGGCAGGGGGAGGUUCUGGUAGGGGAAGGGUCGGAUCUUGCAGGAGGAGGAAGGAUGGGGGCAGGGGGAGGUUCUGGUAGGGGAAGGGUCGGAUCUUGCAGGGGAAGGAAGGAUGGGGGCAGGGGGAGGUUCUGGUAGGGGAAGGGUCGGAUCUUGCAGGGGAAGGAAGGAUGGGGGCAGGGGGAGGUUCCGGUAGGGGAAGGGUCGGA